rnacentral:rRNA from 1 species
UACGGGAGGCAGCAGUGGGGAAUCUUGCGCAAUGGACGAAAGUCUGACGCAGCGACGCCGCGUGGGGGAUGAAGGCUUUCGGGUUGUAAACCCCUGUUGCCCGGGACGAACUUCUCCUUUCGAGGAGAUUGACGGUACCGGGUGAGGAAGCACCGGCUAACUCUGUGCCAGCAGCCGCGGUAAUACAGAGGGUGCGAGCGUUGUCCGGAAUCACUGGGCGUAAAGGGCGCGUAGGUGGCCCGACAAGUCCGUGGUGAAAGCUCGACGCUCAACGUCGAGUCGGCCAUGGAUACUGUUGGGCUGGAGCACUGUAGAGGCUCAUGGAAUUCCGGGUGUAGCGGUGGAAUGCGUAGAGAUCCGGAAGAACACCGGUGGCGAAGACGGUGAGCUGGGCAGUUGCUGACACUGAGGCGCGACAGCGUGGGGAGCAAACAGGAUUAGAUACCCUGGUAG